AACGAACGCUGGUGGUAUGCUUAACACAUGCAAGUCGAACGGGCAUAGCAAUAUGUCAGUGGCAAACAGGUGAGUAAUGUAUAGGAAUCUACCUAGCAGUAAGGAAUAACCCUGGGAAACCAGGGCUAAUGCCAUAUAUUACCGGUUAGCAAUAACCGGGAAAGAUUUAUCGCUGUUAGAUGAGCCUGUAUCAGAUUAGCUAGUUGGUGGGGUAAUAGCCUACCAAGGCAAUGAUCUGUAGCUGGUCUGAGAGGAUGAUCAGCCACACUGGAACUGCGACACGGUCCAGACUCCUACGGGAGGCAGCAGUGGGGAAUAUUGGACAAUGGGCGCAAGCCUGAUCCAGCAAUACCACGUGAGUGAUGAAGGCCUUCGGGUCGUAAAACUCUUUUAGUAGGGAAGAUAAUGACUGUACCUACAGAAAAAGCACCGGCUAACUUCGUGCCAGCAGCCGCAGUAA
rnacentral:rRNA from 1 species